rnacentral:rRNA from 1 species
GAUGAACGCUGGCGGCGUGCCUAAUACAUGCCAGUAGAACGCUGAAGGAGGAGCUUGCUCUUUCCGGAUGAGUUGCGAACGGGUGAGUAACGCGUAGGUAACCUGCCUGGUAGCGGGGGAUAACUAUUGGAAACGAUAGCUAAUACCGCAUAACAGUAGAUAUUGCAUGAUAUUUGCUUGAAAGGGGCAAUUGCUCCACUACCAGAUGGACCUGCGUUGUAUUAGCUAGUUGGUGAGGUAACGGCUCACCAAGGCGACGAUACAUAGCCGACCUGAGAGGGUGAUCGGCCACACUGGGACUGAGACACGGCCCAGACUCCUACGGGAGGCAGCAGUAGGGAAUCUUCGGCAAUGGACGGAAGUCUGACCGAGCAACGCCGCGUGAGUGAAGAAGGGUUUCGGAUCGUAAAGCUCUGUUGUAAGAGAAGAACGAGUGUGAGAGUGGAAAGUUCACACUGUGACGGUAUCUUACCAGAAAGGGACGGCUAACUACGUG